rnacentral:rRNA from 1 species
AUGGACCUCCCGUCGAUUACGGCGAUGGGGUCCCUGGGCGUGCUGCUGCUGCACCCCAUGAACGGCUACCUGGAGCAGGAGCUGGACCGCGUCUUCCGCUUCUGGGACUCCCCUCCAGACGGGGGCGCCGAGUUCCUCCGUGCGGUCGUCGGCAACGCCGGAUACAACGCCGACGCCGCGCUCAUCGAUGCGUUGCCGUCCCUCGAGAACGUUGCGUCCUCCGUGGGGAUCGACCGCGUCGACCUCACCAAGUGCCGCGAGCGCGGGAUCCAUGCUCACUGA